rnacentral:rRNA from 1 species
UACGUAGGGGGCAAGCGUUGUCCGGAAUCAUUGGGCGUAAAGCGCGUGUAGGCGGCUCGGUAAGUCUGCUCUGAAAGCCUGGGGCUCAACCCUGGGAGGCGGGUGGAUACUGCUGAGCUCGAGUCGGAAGAGGCGAGUGGAAUUCCUGGUGUAGCGGUGAAAUGCGCAGAUAUCAGGAGGAACACCAAUGGCGAAGGCAGCUCGCUGGGACGGUACUGACGCUGAGACGCGAAAGCGUGGGGAGCAAACAGG